rnacentral:rRNA from 1 species
AGUCGAGGGGUAUAGUUCUUCGGAACUAGAGACCGGCGCACGGGUGCGUAACGCGUAUGCAAUCUACCUUUCACAAAGGGAUAGCCCAGAGAAAUUUGGAUUAAUACCUUAUAGUAUAUAUGAAUGGCAUCAUUUAUAUAUUAAAGAUUUAUCGGUGAAAGAUGAGCAUGCGUCCCAUUAGCUUGUUGGUAAGGUAACGGCUUACCAAGGCUACGAUGGGUAGGGGUCCUGAGAGGGAGAUCCCCCACACUGGUACUGAGACACGGACCAGACUCCUACGGGAGGCAGCAGUGAGGAAUAUUGGACAAUGGGCGCAAGCCUGAUCCAGCCAUGCCGCGUGCAGGAUGACGGUCCUAUGGAUUGUAAACUGCUUUUGUACAGGAAGAAACAGUUCUACGUGUAGAACCUUGACGGUACUGUAAGAAUAAGGAUCGGCUAACUCCGUGCCAGCAGCCGCGGUAAUACGGAGGAUCCAAGCGUUAUCCGGAAUCAUUGGGUUUAAAGGGUCCGUAGGCGGUUAGAUAAGUCAGUGGUGAAAGCCCAUCGCUCACGGUGGAACGGCCAUUGAUACUGUCUGACUUGAAUUAUUAGGAAGUAACUAGAAUAUGUAGUGUAGCGGUGA